UGCCAGCAGUCGCGGUAAUACGAAGGGACCUAGCGUAGUUCGGAAUUACUGGGCUUAAAGAGCUCGUAGGUGGUUAAAAAAGUUGAUGGUGAAAUCCCAAGGCUCAACCUUGGAACCGCCAUCAAAACUUUUUAGCUAGAGUGUGAUAGAGGUAAGUGGAAUUUCUAGUGUAGAGGUGAAAUUCGUAGAUAUUAGAAAGAACACCGAUAGCGAAGGCACCCUACUGGGCCAGUACUGACACUCAGAGGCGAAAGCUAGGGUAGCAAAAGGGAUUAGAUA
rnacentral:rRNA from 1 species